AUGGAAGAAGAGCCGAAUCGGAGGAGGCUGUAUCAAGUUUGGAGAGGAAGCAAUAAAUUUCUCUGCGGCGGGCGCCUAAUCUUCGGUCCGGACGCGGGUUCCCUCUUCCUGUCCACAGUUCUAAUCAUAGGCCCCUUGGUCGGCCUAUGCUGCCAGUGCAUCACAAAGAUGAACUCCAGCACCUCGGAUCAGAAGAAGAAUGUCCUCGGCCUGCCGGUCCUCAUCGCCACGGUCGUUCUCGGCCUAGCGGAUUUGGCAUUCCUGCUCUUGACGUCGAGCAGGGACCCGGGGAUCGUGCCGAGGAACGCGCGUCCUCCCGAGUGCGGCGACGAGCAGCAGGUGGUGGACAUGACGACGCCGUCGACCGAGUGGGUGAACGCGGCGAGCCCCCACCUCCGUGUUCCCCGCUCCAAGGACGUGGUCGUCAACGGGUGCGUGGUCAAGGUGAAGUACUGCGACACGUGCCUGCUGUACCGCCCGCCCCGGACGUCCCACUGCUCCAUCUGCAACAACUGCGUCCAGAAGUUCGACCACCACUGCCCCUGGGUCGGCCAGUGCAUCGGCCUGCGGAACUACCGCUUCUUCUUCCUCUUCAUCUCCACGUCCACGCUCCUCUGCUUUUACGUCUUCGCCCUGUCGUGGCUCAACAUCGCCGCCGAGAGGGAGGAGUACGGCGGCUCACUUCUGAAAUCCAUGGGCGGCGAGGUGCUAUCCGUCGUGCUCAUCGUCUACACCUUCGUGUCGGUGUGGUUCGUCGGCGGGCUCACCUUGUUCCACCUCUACCUCAUGAGCACCAACCAGACCACGUACGAGAACUUCAGGUACAGGUACGACAAAAAGGAGAAUCCCUACAACAAGGGCGCGCUAGCCAACAUCGCCGAGGUCUUCUGUACGCGGAUGCCGCCCUCGCUCAACCGUUUCCGGUCGUGGGUGUCGGAGGACGACGACGCGUACAGCGGCGGCGUGCUCUCUCCGAUCAGCGGCGGGCUCGAUCUGGAGAUGGGGCGCAAGGGCGUGCACUACAGCCCCGGCGGCAUCCCGGCGAUCCUUCAGGGCAUGGAUUACAGCGAGAUGGAGAAGAUGGACGGUAUGGGUGUGCACGUCAAGGAUCGGCAAGCGGCGCCCGAGGCGCCGGACCUGUUCGUUAUCUCACCGGCCCGGCAGCACGACGUGGGCUGCGGAGGAGGAGGAGGGGAAGGAGAACGUAGCCCCGCAACUGUACAGGACCAAGAUGCUGAGAGGACACUUGUGAGCUCGAAUGCAAAUUCUCAACGGUGA
rnacentral:rRNA from 1 species